rnacentral:rRNA from 1 species
UACGAAGGGUGCAAACGUUAUUCGGAAUCACUGGGCGUAAAGGGCGCGUAGGCGGCGUUUUAAGUCGGGGGUGAAAGCCUGUGGCUCAACCACAGAAUGGCCUUCGAUACUGGGACGCUUGAGUAUGGUAGAGGUUGGUGGAACUGCGAGUGUAGAGGUGAAAUUCGUAGAUAUUCGCAAGAACACCGGUGGCGAAGGCGGCCAACUGGACCAUUACUGACGCUGAGGCGCGAAAGCGUGGGGAGCAAACAGG